rnacentral:rRNA from 1 species
AGAAUCAACGCUGGCGGCGUGCCUAACACAUGCAAGUCGAACGAGAAAGUGGAGCAAUCCAUGAGUAAAGUGGCGCACGGGUGAGUAACACGUGACUAACCUACCCUUGAGUGGGGAAUAACUUCGGGAAACCGAGGCUAAUACCGCAUAACACCUACGGGUCAAAGGAGCAAUUCGCUUAAGGAGGGGGUCGCGGCAGAUUAGUUAGUUGGCGGGGUAAUGGCCCACCAAGACAGUGAUCGAUA